rnacentral:rRNA from 1 species
GACGAACGCUGGCGGCGUGCUUAACACAUGCAAGUCGAACGAUGAUGCCUGGUGCUUGCACUGGGUGGAUUAGUGGCGAACGGGUGAGUAACACGUGAGGACCUGUCCUUGACUCUGGGAUAAGCCUGGGAAACUGGGUCUAAUACUGGAUAUGACCAAUUGUCGCAUGGUGGUUGGUGGAAAGAUUUUUUGGUCAAGGGUGGUCUCGCGGCCUAUCAGUUUGUUGGUGGGGUAGUGGCCUACCAAGGCGAUGACGGGUAGCCGGCCUGAGAGGGUGACCGGCCACACUGGGACUGAGACACGGCCCAGACUCCUACGGGAGGCAGCAGUGGGGAAUAUUGCACAAUGGGCGCAAGCCUGAUGCAGCGACGCCGCGUGGGGGAUGAAGGCCUUCGGGUUGUAAACUCCUUUCGCCAUUGACGAAGCCCUUCGGGGUGACGGUAGGUGGAGAAGAAGCACCGGCUGACUACGUGCCAGCCGCCGCCGUAACAC